GUGCAUAUUUUAUGGACCCGGUUUCUAGUGUUCUUUUGAGCAGUGUUUUCUCUCAUGUGCUACAUAAAAGUUGAAGGCUAAUUAUCUGUAUAACUAAAUAGUAAUACUGCCAGUCUCCUUCAGACAGCU